rnacentral:rRNA from 1 species
GAUGAACGCUGGCGGCGUGCUUAACACAUGCAAGUCGAACGAUGAAAGCGGGAGCUUGCUCCUGCUGGAUUAGUGGCGAACGGGUGAGUAACACGUGAGCAAUCUGCCCCGAACUCUGGGAUAAGCGUUGGAAACGACGUCUAAUACCGGAUACGACGCGCGAAGGCAUCUUCUGCGCGUGGAAAGAAUUUCGGUUCGGGAUGAGCUCGCGGCCUAUCAGCUAGUUGGUGAGGUAACGGCUCACCAAGGCGACGACGGGUAGCCGGCCUGAGAGGGUGACCGGCCACACUGUGACUGAGACACGGCCCAGCAUCCUAGGGGAGGCAGCAGUGGGGAAUAUUGCACGAUGGGCGAAAGCCUGAUGCAGCAACGCCGCGUGAGGGACGACGGGCUUAGGGUUGUAAACCUCUUUUAGUAGGGAAGAAGCGAAAGUGACGGUACCUGCAGAAAAAGCACCGGCUAACUACGUGCCAGCCGCCGCAGUAACAC